CCUACGGGAGGCAGCAGUGAGGAAUAUUGGUCAAUGGACGAGAGUCUGAACCAGCCAAGUAGCGUGAAUGAUGACUGCCCUAUGGGUUGUAAACUUCUUUUAUAUGGGAAUAAAAUGUUCCACGUGUGGGAUUUUGUAUGUACCAUAUGAAUAAGAAUCGGCUAACUCCGUGCCAGCAGCCGCGGUAAUACGGAGGAUCCGAGCGUUAUCCGGAUUUAUUGUGUUUAAAGGGAACGUAGGUGGAUUGUUAAGUCAGUUGUGAAAGUUUGCGGCUCAACCGUAAAAUUGCAGUUGAAACUGGCAGGCUUGAGUACAGUAGAGGUGGGCGGAAUUCGUGGUGUAGCGGUGAAAUGCUUAGAGAUCACGAAGAACACCGAUGGCGAAGGCAGUUCACUGGACUGAAACUGACACUGAGGUGCGAAAGUGUGGGUAUCAAACAGGAUUAGAUACCCGUGUAGUC
rnacentral:rRNA from 1 species